rnacentral:rRNA from 1 species
AUUGAACGCUGGCGGCAGGCUUAACACAUGCAAGUCGAGCGAGCGGCGGACGGGUGAGUAAUGUCUGUGAAACUGCCUGAUGGAGGGGGAUAACUACUGGAAACGGUAGCUAAUACCGCAUACCAUCAGAUGUGCCCAGAUGGGAUUAGCUAGUAGUUGGGGUAAUGGCUCACCUAGGCGACGAUCCCUAGCUGGUCUGAGAGGAUGACCAGCCACGCUGGAGCUGAGAAACGGGCCAGGCUCCUAUGGUAGGCAGAAGUGGGGAAUAUUGCACAAUGGGCGCAAGCCUGAUGCAGCCAUGCCGGGUGUGUGAAGAGGGCCUUCGGGUUGUAAAGCACUUUCAGCGAGGAGGCGUUACUCGCAGAAGAAGCACCGGGUAACUCCGUGCCAGCAGCCGCGGUAAUUC